AUUAAAUAUUUUGAAAUGCGAACGAAUGAUCACUAAUGAAUUUAGAUGUAGUGAAAAGGAAAUUUUAGGCAACGCAGGCGCGGAUGCUAAGUGGAAAAAUAAAACAAUGGCGGACAAAUUCGCACUAAGAUUUGCAAAUGUGUCACCUUGAGAAGAAACUUCCCGAAAUCUUAUGAGAUCUGUUUUGUUGGCAACUAUGUAGAUGGGCUUGGUGUCGCCAACCUCUUUCCUAAUCUGCUCUACUAUGUUUGCGAUAUAAUGAAACGAUCUUUUAUCUGUGACAGAGAACAUCAUUACAAAAGCGUCGUAAGUGCGAUUCCAUCCAUAAUUCUAAAAGAGAAGACAGAUUUGUACGAGACUGGGAACAGAAUUAAUCAGCCUGCACAAAUAUGCAGUAUUCUAUAUUCUUAAUUUGUUUACCUAUUCAAAAUUGAAAGUCAACAUACUUGAAUAUACAUAUGAGCUUCAACGAAAUCAAGGAUGGAUUCUUUGCCGUCUAAUAUUACAGGGACGGUGAUACAAGAAGAAUCAGGACCUGUAAUAAAUAAAUGAAUUCGCUUUAAAGACAACUAGAGCGCUACCGAUAACUAAAAUAAUAAUAUAGCAAUCUUUACGUUAAUCCCAUAAGAACAAGGUGGUGUUACAUUUAAAAAGUUUACCAUCAGGACAUGCUCCUAGGUACUCGGAAGUUCUCAAUUGUUUAAGAAAACACGAUUUCCCAACUCGCGGGAUUCCAUGCAAUACAAUUCUGAACCGUUGCCCGCGAGCUGAAUUCUCUUCGAAGCAAUCUUCACUUGUGUAUGAAAAUAUAGAUAAUGCAGAAACUUUUCUUCCUUGUCCAUCAGUUUCCACAUUAGACAAAGAACUUGAUGAGGAGAGUCGAAGAAAGUCUCCACGAUUUUUGAUGCCCCUUUUUGUUUUGGUGAAAUUUCGAACUCGUUCACAUGUAUUUCUUUCAGAAAAAGUGAGAAACCGUUUUCGUUCCGCUGGGUAUAAUGUUCGAUCCAAUUUUCCAUAGUCAGAGAAAGAAUUAAGUCGCUUGUGAGAAUUGGCAUUCGUUGUUCCGAUUGUUUCUUCCAUACUUGCGUUCAAGCGAAACAUAUUCGCCUGUGCCUUAUUUAUAGCGUACCAAAGGUGGUUAUUGGUUAGUUUGUACUUUGAAAAUAUCACGUAGACAAUCCUUUUCAUGAGUAAUUUAUAUAUGUUUGCCUUUUUCAAUAGGGAUCCUUUAAUUUUUGUGAAUAUUUUUUACCACCAGGUGAAUAAUUAAAAAUGUUUAUGUUGCUUUUAGGCACGUAGCAAAGUGGAAGAAAGGGCACACUCUUUGGUUUGUUAACCUAUUUGUAACCUUCUUAUCAUAGAAAAGAAAACAAAUAAAAGCAAACUGUCUACUUUAAG
rnacentral:sRNA from 1 species